CUUUAGCUUUGUGGUAUAUUCUUGCAAAAUUUCCCUGCAAGUUCAAGAAUUAUUUCAUAUUUUUAUCUUGUCAUUAUAGGAGGUGAUUAACAUACAUGGAGCAAUUUCCAUACAUGGUCAUAAAUGGUUGGAUUAAACUGUACAUGGAGCGAUUUCCAUACAUGGUCAUAUAUGGUUGGAUUAACCAUUAUCUUUAUAAUCUUCAGGUAGCAUGGUUAACACAUACCUAAAAAUUUCAGGUUUUUCAGGCCAAAAUUUGAACUG
rnacentral:lncRNA from 1 species